rnacentral:rRNA from 1 species
GAUGAACGCUGGCGGCGUGCUUAACACAUGCCAGUCGAACGGAAAGGCCCAAGCUUGCUUGGGUACUCGAGUGGCGAACGGGUGAGUAACACGUGGGUGAUCUGCCCUGCACUUCGGGAUAAGCCUGGGAAACUGGGUCUAAUACCGGAUAGGACCACUUCUUGGAUGUUGUGGUGGAAAGUUUUUUCGGUGUGGGAUGAGCUCGCGGCCUAUCAGCUUGUUGGUGGGGUAAUGGCCUACCAAGGCGUCGACGGGUAGCCGGCCUGAGAGGGUGUACGGCCACAUUGGGACUGAGAUACGGCCCAGACUCCUACGGGAGGCAGCAGUGGGGAAUAUUGCACAAUGGGCGCAAGCCUGAUGCAGCGACGCCGCGUGGGGGAUGACGGCCUUCGGGUUGUAAACUCCUUUCGCUAGGGACGAAGCGUUUUGUGACGGUACCUGGAGAAGAAGCACCGGCUAACUACGUG